rnacentral:rRNA from 1 species
AGGCAGCAGUUGGGGAAAUAUUGCACAAUUGGGCGCAAGCCUGAGCCAGCGACCCAGAGUGAGGGAARACGGCCUUCGGGUUGAUAAACUCUUUUCAAUAGGGACGAAGCGUAAGUGACGGUACCUAUAGAAGAAGCACCGGCCAACUACGUGCCAGCAGCCGCG